UAGUGAGCAUGCUCCUAUGUUUGCGCCUGCUCAGUGAGCGCAGCCAAAGGGCUGCGCUAGUGGGAGCGGGAGGAGACAAGCAAAGGGCCAAGCCGCCCCAAGGGGAAUCCUGCAGAGAGGGUCAUGUGACUGCACUGGCGUAGGGACCGCGGCGCGGGAGGUGGCAGGAGGGGCUCGUGGUCGCGUCGUGGGCCCGCCUCAGGAGCAGCGCGCCCUAUUGUAGUGCUCGUGCUGUAGGGGCGCCUGCCCAGGGGCACAGGGUGGGUGCUGAGCAGUGGGCCCCAGCACUCACUUCCAGCGGGAUCCGGAGGCAGGUGCUGCUGGGUCUGGCUUGGCAGGGAUGCUGCAAAGGGCCCUGGGGGCUGUCCCUGAAUUGCCUGCCCUAACCCAUUGUUCGGGAGGUGGUUUUCAGUGCGCAGCCUGCCACCCUUUGUAACACUUAGUAACCCUGACACACACAGACAAUGAAAAGACCCUAAUGCACGAUGCAAUUUAUGGACAGCCCUUCUCAUAGUGACAUCGGCCUGUGUUGGGCCACGAUGGUGGAAAAGACAAACUUCUCUCACCCACGUUGUAUGUCUGAUAGCGUGGGGCUACCAGAGCUACAACACCGCUGCAAACAACAUAAUAAUAGGAAGAUACAACAGCUGAUAGUUUGCAAUGUGGAAUCUCAGAGAAUUUGAUAUUUCAGGGCAAAAUCUGGUCCAGGACUAAAUACAGAAAGUUCCAGAUGUCAGGUCAGAGUGGCAGUUGUUUCCUUCAGUCAUCAAAUGAAAACCUUGGGAAUUAACACAGACUACUUGGUGUAUUUUUAAAAUGCAAUGAACGUGAAAGACUGCCUUUGUAUUGGUUCUUUCAUGCAAAUCACAUGUAAAUGCUUUUUAAUAAAAAUCAUCACUUAAUUCUAUUCUAAUGCAGAAAUAAGCUUUUCAUGGUAAUACAUGUUUUUGAGAAGUGCCAAACAUUACUCAUUG